rnacentral:ncRNA from 1 species
AUAAAUAAAUUAUAUAUGGUUUAAAAAAUUUAUUUUAAAAUUUAUUUUAUAUAUAAAUUUUAGUGUUAAUAAUAGUUUAUUUUAAAAAUAAUUAAUUAUUUUGUAGUAAUUUAUAUUAAAUAUUUAAGAAAUUAAGAUUUAGGAAUAUUAAAAUUAAUAACAAAUUUUGUGCCAGCAGUUGCGGUUAUACAAAAAUUAAAUUAAAUUUUAUUAGUUAAUUAAUAAUUAAUUUUUUUUUUUAUAAAUUAAAAUUAAAAUUAUUAGGUGAAAUUUUAAUUUUAUAAAAAUUUAUUUUAAAUAAAAAUUUAUGAUUUAAUAAAUUUUAUUAAUAAACUAGGAUUAGAUACCCUAUUAUUAAAAAUUUAAAUUUAAAAUACUAAAGUAUUAUAUAAUUAUUUAUUGAAAUUUAAAUAUUUUGGCGGUAUUUUAGUUUAUUUAGAGGAAUCUGUUUAUUAAUUGAUAAUCCACGAUUAAAUUUACUUAAUUUAUUAUUUUGUAUAUCAUUGUUAAAAAAAUAUUUUUUAAUAAUUAUAAUAUUUUAAAAUUAUUAAUAAAAAUUAAAUCAAAUCAAGAUGCAGAUUAUAAUUAAGAAUAUAAUGGAUUACAAUAAAUUUAUUUAAAUGGAUUUUAAUUUGUAAAAAUUAAAUGAAAGUGGAUUUAAAUGUAAUUUUAUUUAAUUAAAUAAAAUGAUUAAAAAUUAAAAUAUGUACAUAUUGCCCGUCGCUUUCAUAUAUAAAUUGAAAUAAGUCGUAACAAAGUAGAGGUACUGGAAAGUGUUUCUAGAAAGAU